rnacentral:lncRNA from 1 species
UUAACUUUAUCCGAACAAAGAGUUUCGUUUACCCUGGUUACGGGAAUCGUGUACCGCAAGGACAUGAGCAUGAGAUCGUAGCCAUAGCAACACACCCGACGAUGGGGCGCCAUAUCUCUAUUCUUGGGCGCAGCGACAUCGUAGAGGACAGAACAGAACAGCCGCCCAGAUUUGGCCUCCAUUGCAGCCACGCAAUCGCGUUCUCCCCAAUCUGCAGUGGCGGGGCGCUGUCUCCUGCUACAGACCCAGACGACACAACCUGGGCCAGCUCCAGUCUGGAGGCCAGUCCAAUGGGGGAAACUGUGGUGUGAUGUUGGUGUGAUGGUGGUAUGAUGUUGGU